AAGAUUAAUUUAUUUAAAAAAAAUAGAUUUAAAAUUUUGACAUUAUUUCAAAAUUUUGAUGUAAAUUUUUAAUAUUUAAUAUUUAAUUUGAAUUUAAAUUAAUAUAUUAUAAAGAUAAUGUUAGUAUAUUAAUUUGAUUACGUUUUUUAUAUCAACCUGAACCAAACACCGACAAUGGGAAUGAUUUAUUCCGAUUCCGAUUCAGAUGAUGAACCAAACAGAAUUAGGUAAUGAGUCAUUCCGAUUCCGAUUCCAGCUUAUUUUGAUUCCGAUUCCGAUUCCGACUCCAACUUCGAACCAAACACGCCCUUACAUUUAAGUGUCCUUUUUUUUUAUUUUUGUAUGAAUGUACUCGCCAGUCUCAAAAACAUAUAAUCACUUAGUCUAUAUUUAAAUUCAGAAUCUAUAAAAUCAAACUAGGUACCUUAGCCACCUAUGGUAAAGUAGAUUGAUGAUUUCAGUAAUUGAAUCGACAAUACAAGAGCAAUGUAUAGAAUUAAAUUGGAUAUCUUAGCCAUCUAUACUAAGAUGAAUUGAUGGUCUUGUAAGUCAUAUUAUCAAGAGCCUCUUAUCAUAGUCUCGGUUUAGCCUUCAACUUGUGAAUUAUUAUUAUAUACAAGGAGAGGGGAUGGGGCCCGGCUCGGAGAGAGAACGACUCGGAGAGACGCGGGACGGGAGGCAUGUGACGCCGCUCGUCGCCAGCGAAGGAAGCGGGCAGAGCUGAGGAGGCGGGGGGGUCGCUGGGGAGGCGACGCGUGGCGGGUUUAGGGUUCGACUUUUAUUAUAUGUAUAGAUUUUAAGAUGCAAUGAAUGCGACAAUAAAGAAAAAAAAUCUUAAGUCAUGAAUGCUAUUCUGCACUCACUUUUGUGAGUUUGAAAUAUUAGAUUUAUCGUAACUAUUGACCUAGCCAAAUGGUUGUUGCCCUAGUUAUUAUCUUCGAAGUAGGGAAUUUUAGUCUCGAUUUGUGCUUUUAUGAAAAAAUAUUCGUGCACCUGACUUCUUGAAUUAAAAAUAGUAUCUAAAUUAGGAAGGGUUGAGGGAUUCAACCUGCUAGCAAAACUCAAACGAAAAAGAAUAAAAUAAAAUAAAAAAUUUCAUGGAUUCUACCCCCAAUUCCUCUUGGCCCAACUUCUCUUCGCGCUCCACCUUCACCGCAACAGAUCCGGUAUAAUUUUGGAACAGCUGUUGGAGCUGGAGGACGAAGAGGAGUGGGGUGUAGAAGAAGCACGAGGAAGUGGAGAGGAAGGAGGAAGAGAAAUAGUGUAACUAUUUUUCAAAGAGUGUAACUUUUAUUUAAAAAGUAUAGCUUUUAUCUUAAAAAAUAUAUCCCAAAGAGUGUAACUUACAUCUAUAGCAGUGCAAUGUUCUUCUAAGACAGUGCAAUUUUAUUUUAACAAUACAACUUCAUCUUCUAUUUCCUUCUUCUCUAGUUCUUUUCCUUAUUCUCUAAUUUUUAGCCUUUAGUUAAUUUUUUUUUGUUUUAAACAAAUAAAAGUGUGCUUAACCAAAGAUACUACGGUGGAGGUGGAGGUGGAGAGCGACAGAAAGUUGGACAUAGAAGAAGCAUGAGGAAGCGAAGGGAAAGAGAAGGAAGAGAAAUAGUGUGCGAAAGGAAAAGGGAGGGAGGAGGAGAAACAGUGUAACUAUCUCUCAAAAAUACAACUUUCGUUUAAAAAGUGUAGCUUUUAUUGUAAAAGAUGCAGUUUACAUCUCAAAGAGUACAACUUACGUUUAUAACAAUACAAUAUUCUUCUAAAAUAGUGCAACUUCAUCUCAACAGUGUAAUUUUAUCUUCUUCUAACUUCUUCUCUAGUGUUAUUCUUCCUUAUUCUCUAAUUUUUGGCUUUUACUUAAUUUUUCUUUUGUUUCAAGCAAACAAAGUGCUUAAUUAGAAAUGCUCCCGUGCACCCCCCCACCCUCCUCGUCUCCGACCCUGCUGAGGCCGUGCUCCCUCCCUCUGGGACGUUGCCUCCGCUUCUGUCGUCCUUUUCUCUAGCAUCGUCGCGCUCUUCUCCGUCUCUAUGGGCCACAUGCCUUGUGAUGCCCCAAUAGUCCCACAUUAGGUUUGGACCUGACGAGGACGUCAGGGUCUAACUAGGGGGAGUUUGUAAUGCCCCAAUAGUCCUAUAUUGGAUGAAAAAAUAAUUCUAAUUAGAAUAUACGAGGACUACACGUUAGUAAUAAUAACUGGGCUUAAACAUUUUGGGUCGGUGAUUUGGCCCAACGAGUUAUUAUUGUUAGCGGGUCGGUGGUGAGGACGGUGGCUUCCCAAAAGGCUGCAAAGGCGGUGGAGGAGGGUCAGAGAGAAAAAAAGAGAUCGCGAUGCAACCUCAACGGAGUCGAAGGCAAGGAGGGUGGUGGGUGCGCAGGGGCGGGCGAGGGUGCGCGCAGGGCACACGGGGCAGAGGCGAGGCGGGCGGCCUCCGCCUCCUUCGGAGAGAAUAAAAAAAGAACGAGAGAGAAAAAAGAAUAAGAGAAAAAAAAAAGGUUGCGACGCAACCUCGGUGGGGUCAGAGGCAAGGAGGGUGGGGGGUGCGCAGGGGCAGGCGAGGGUGUGCAGGGCACGCGGGGCAAAGGCGAGGCAAGUGGCCUCGCCUCCCUCUCGGAGAGAAUAAAAAAAAGAACAAGAGAGAAAAAAGAAUAAGAGUAUUUGAUUAGUUUUCUAAAAAUUCGGACUGAAUAUGUAAAAUUCAAAAUAGUGGCAUACUUUUGCAAAAUCUCAAAACUAACAAAUUUUUUAUGCAAAUUGACCAAAAAAAAAAAUAUCAAUAAAAAAAUAAAUAACUUAUCUAAACUAUGGAGCACUUUAAGUCAGUUAUCCAACAUUUCAAAAUUUUAAUGUUACUGCCCAACUUUUCAAUUUAUUUAAUUUAAAAUAUUUAACGACACUUUGACUUUAAAAAAUAGAGGUACUUACUUAUAUACCCUAAAAAGUUUUCGACUUUUUGAUUUGCCCGUCUUAGAAGGCAUAUAUUAAAAAUAUACUAUUAACAUUCCAAAUUAUUUCAAAUAUACCACUACUAGAGUUAAAUUAUAUUUGUUAAUCGUUAAAAACAACCAUUAUCUAUGUGAAAUUAUCAUUUUACUUUUUCAAAUAUAUCAUUCUACCGUCACCUACUUUUCUAUUUUCUAUUUACCCCUAAUAUAAGGGUAAAAUAAAUAUUUUUAAUUUUUUAUCUUUUCAAAUAUACACUUCUAUCAUCACCGGCUUUUCUUAUUUGCCCUUACGUUAAGGGCAAACGAGAUAUUUUAAUUUUUUUUAACUCAUGUAGAAAUUUAACCCGAGUUUAAUAUGAGAUAACUUAACAGGUACUAACAGUAGAGCAUUUUUCAAUAACGGAGACCUAUACGAGGGAUAUAUUUAAAACAAAAAAAAAUAGGGAUAAAUAAGAUAUAUCAAAAAAUUUCAGGAAUAUAUUAGAUAUUAUCCCUAAAAUAUAAAUACGUUGUUUAUCAUUACAGAUUGUACAUUUUAUACCAUUCUCAUAAUUAUAAAUUUAUUAAAAUAGUUAGAUUAAAUUUUGAAGUCAAUUUAUAGCUGACUAACUCAAAUCAACCUAAUUAAAAGAUUGCAUAGUAAAAUUAAAAUUUUGAUAGGCUGGACAAUCGGCACAAAAUGGUCCACAAUUCAGAUAAAUUCUAUACAUUUUUACAAAAUAAUAAUAAUAGUAAUAAUAAUAUGACAAGUAAGUAAAUAUAGACCUUUGAGAUGCUAGGGUGCAGGUUUUAUACCAAAUUUGUAAGCAUACAGGUAGCAUAACUCAUAAACUUUGGUUUUCACUUCUCAUACAAAAAGAAUUUGAGAUCUUUUGCCCAAUUAUAUUGUCUGGACCAGCCACAGUCAGCCAUGGGACAGUCCCAUUCAAUAAAAACUCAAGAGAGUCCAACCAGACGGUUACACCGAAAAUAAGAGUACCAACCAAUGAGAUUAUUGGUGCCAGUAAAUAAAUAAGUAUAGAAAGGCAUUACCAAUAUCUGAUAAUAAAAAUGUAUAGAAAGGCAUCACCAAUAAGCAUAGAAAGGUAUUUAUUACCAAUAUCCGAUAAUAAACAAGCAUAGAAAGGCAUAACGAAUAUCUGGUAAUUAUGGUAGAUCAAAUAUAACCGCAAUUCAAGCCUCUUACAUCUCUUCUACAAAAUCUUCUAUAUUCUCCCGGCAAGAGGACGAGGAAAAAUAAUAAUAAAGCAACAAUUUUUUUUUGUUUUAAAGCAACCUGAGAUUAAUAAUUGUUUAGAUCAAAUACCAGUUAUUUAUGGUAUAUAAUGUACUUGCCAGAAUGAAUGAUGCCUCUCUUGUGAAUCUCCGAGUUAACAAGGUGGUCAAAACCCUACAAAACAAAGGUAGUUGGCUCCUCACCUGUGAUAGGAUAGUGGAGCAGGUAAUCAGUUCUACCAGUAAUCCUUUUUAUGUUGUGGCCAUCUUAUCAAGUGUGAAUGAUUCACUAUCUUCUUUUUUCGAACCAAAGAGCUUUAUUCAACAAUUCCAAGCCUUAUCCGUGAUACAAAUCGCCCCUCGGGUUGUCCUCUCUUAGUCCAAUUGUUGCUGAUAUUUUCUACACAACAGAGAAAAUUUACAAGGCUUAUUAAUGGAAGAAAAGAAAAGAAAAGAAAAGAAAAGAGAGUUUAUGGCCCAGGCUUGUUAAUGGAAGAAAAGAAAAGAAAAGAAAAGAAAAGAAAGUUUACGGCCCGUUUGAAAUUUGCGAGUAGAUUGGAUAGAAUAAAAUGAGAGCAUAGCGUCGGAGAGAGAGGGAAGGUUUAGUGACUCAAGGGCACCAUAGGUCAUUAUGGGUAGAGGGGAGGAAUUUGGUUAAGUGGAAAAAAGAUAUUUUGAAUAAUCCCAACCUCGUGUAGGAUUCGAUAAUCUCAUCCAAGCAAAAUUAUUUGAAUUACUAAACCUUUCUGCAGAGUUAUUAAUUUCUUCUUAUCCUAUCCAAUCUAAUUCUGGGUGCCCAAAUAGGCCUUCAGCCUCUUUUAGUUGGGAAUAGCUACUGCUAUCCCGCCAAACAUAAAGAAAGAUUAAAAGUUGCUUGAAACAAUAAGCAGUUUUGAAAAUACCCUACAACUUUUCUAUUUCUAAUUGACACCUCGCCAAGGUUUUCUUGUUUUGAUUCAAGUUAAUCAGGUGACAAGGCGAUUCCUUGAAAGUUAGUAAAAUGGCUAGCUGUUAGCUGUUUGAAUUAGUCACCAAUUCAACUGCAAAAUAACUUGAAUCAAACCAAACAAACGUUAACAGAAUGUUAAUUUGAAAAAUAAAAUUUGAGGGUCUAAUUCAAAAUAGCCUAUCGUUUAAGGGAGUCUACAUGCAUUUUUAUUUGCAAAUGAAUAAGAAUUAGUGUAAAGAAGCAACCCUGAAACCAAAGAUUCAAGUGCCGGCCGUGCGCCAAUGCGGCACGUACCAUGCCACCAAGAAAAAGGCACGGUAUAGGGGGUCUCGAACUCGGGGCCGUGCUGCGGCACUCGGGGCCGUGCCGCACGAGACAGAGCGGCACGGCGAUGCGUGCCACGGCACAGUGCAAUGCUGGCACUGUGCAAAAAAAAAAAAAAUUUUUGCUUUUUUUUUUUUUACUUUUUACUUUUUUACUUUUUUUUUUUGUUUUAUUUUUUGGAGUACCCGAAGUAUUCUGGGUACUCUACAACCCUCAAAAAAUAUUACAAAUCGAAAAUCUAUUUGUUAGGCAAGUUAAAAAAAUUAUAGUUUUUUUUUGUUUAUCAAUAUAGGACAUUUUUAAUUUACAUAUCCAAUCUCUCCGCUUCCACCGUAGGCAUCCAUUUUUUCUUUACAAAUUAUUUUAUCAAAUUUUGUCGCACUGCAAAACUUUUACCAAAUUAGGGAAGCAAAAUCGAACUCAAUAAACAAAUUUUAAGGCACAUCAAACAUAAAAUUUUAUUUUUGCGUUAGAAAAUUAAAAAUGCUGAUAAAAUUAAAAGUUAAAUUAAAUUAAUUAAUACUUAAAUUUAUUUAAUUUAUUUGUCAUAUAAUUUAUCGCUUAAUUUUUUUAAUAGAUAUACUAAUUUUUAAAAAAAAAUUAAUUAAAAAAUAAUUUUUUAAAAUAAUUUUAAAAUUUAUUUUUUUGUACUUUAUAAAAGAAAGACUGUAAUAUGGUCAAAAGAAAAAAGAAAAAAAAAAGAUAUCUUUGCAUUUUAAAAAUUCUAACCUGUAAAAGUUUCUAUUCUGCAUCAGGUAUAGUUGUACUUUACAUACAAAAAGGUUUACAAGUAUAUUAAUUGAUGAGUAUAAUAAGCUAUACAUAGCAAAUAUUCAUAAUUAUUUGAUUAAAUCUUUCAAAAUAAUAUUAUAAGAGUUUAUUGAAAUAAAAAAAAACUAAAAUAAAUCCGUGCCAAAGCGUGCCAAUAGAAGGUCAUGCGUAUCCAUCGGCACGCAAGCGUACCAUGUGUCGGCACGGAAGCGUGCCAAUGCCGUACCGUGCCAGGCAGACAGCGGAACGCCCCCGUGCCACGGCACUUUAAACCUUGCCUGAAACUUACACCAAAAUAAUCAAACAUCUUUGCUGGCUUGUAUCAUCAAAUUGUAUAGAGCAAAUCCACCGCGGUGGCAGCCAGGCAUGUGCAGCGUCAUUCUCUCUAAAUCAUCCUGAUAUUCCAAUAUCCAUCAUGAUAAAGAAAUUAAAGAACAAAAAAAAAAGAGACGUUAAAAAUAAUUGCAGACAGAGUCUAUACAAACCAUAGUAACUGCAUAUAGUUGAGUGGAUUCAUAUCCAUCUUGAGCUCUCGAGUACAGCUUGUAAAUUUCACUUGACUCCAUCAUGCAUUUUAGAAAGAAAAAAGCAGUAGGUCUGACAUUCAUUUCCCUCUGAGAUAUGCCAAUAAGGACAGGCUCUGUCUGCAGAAUAAGUCUUAGUGACAGAAAGUAGAGAGUAGAAUUACUUGAAGAAUGAAAACAAAUGGCAUGAUAUACUCUAAAAAGAUAAGGUAUAGGAACAAUAAUUUGAGCAUUCACCAUAACAGCAGAUGUAGAUCCAAUUACCAACUGAUAUUCACCAAGAACAUAGAAAACAGAACUGUAACAUAAUGAGAACAUACAGCUACGCAUGCACUGAUGUGCAUUAUCAAACCUGUAUAGACUUCCCUCAAAAAAUCAUUUCUAGCUCCCAUUUUGCCCUAACUUGUCGCCUACUCUCUCACAUGACCUCCUUUGCCAAUUUUGCUGUCUUCCCAUACCGAUCACUAUGGCUUUCUUUGCCUCCCUGCCUCCUCCCCCUGGCCUCGUCGCCUCUCUCCUUCACCCCCAACUGCCUCUGCCACCCUGCCUCUUUACUCACCUGUAAUCUUCUCUACCUUAUUCAUGUAACCCCCAGGCUCCUCCAUCUCCAUUCCACAACACUGGUCUCCUUACCCUCCUCUACCUCUCCUUUAUCUUGGCCUCUUCCGCAUCUCUCCAUCACCUUGGGGAUUCAUCCGGCCCUCUCUCCCUCUAGCCUCCGCAUCGCUCCUUCACCACCAGCCUCCCCAACCUUGUCUGCCUGCCUCCCUCACCCCUCACCUCCUGCGUCCCCAUCCCUCACCUCGGCCUCCUCCGCCUAAUCUACACCCUCACCCAAUCUAUUCCCUUGCCCUAGCCUCCUUGGUCGCUUCGCUUCCUUUUGCUAUCAACUCCACUGCCACACCAUCACCUUCGUCAACAUCAUCAAGAUCAUGUGGUCAAAGCUCUUCAACUACAGCUUCAUUGCUCCAAUAUCCAUCUUAAAAUAGGUGCAGCAGUGGCAGAUCAAAUUGAAGUAAUUUAGAAUUAAAACCUAAUGUGGGUAACCCACUUUAAAUCUCCUUCUUUACUCUCAAAUCUGAUCUUCUGUGAGUUGCAUAUUCAUGUUGAAAUUCAUGUAAAUAUAAAAUAUUUCGUUUGAUAAUAUGUUUUCCAGUAGCUUAAGUUAAUAGUGAAUGUACUAAGUAAUCUAUAUUGAACAAUUGAUUACUUUACUAUGUUUUUCAAAUUUAGCAUUUUUAAGUUGUUUCUACUGUAGUUAGAUUAUACUCAUAUCUGUCUCAAAAUCAAAUUCAUAUUCAUAUUUGAAACAAGUACAGUUUGUAUUAGAAUUAUUCCACAUUAGGUCCAUAUCUGUAGUUGUCCUUAAUUCAUUUCUUCCACAACCGUCCAAAAUCCAUAUCUGUACAUAUGUUUAUCAAAUAUGGUAAUGAAGUUUAGUAUCCUUUUAAAAUUUGUAUCUGGAUUUGAAUCUGCAAAUUAAUUACAGAUGCAAAAAUAAUUUCUUCCAAAAUCCAAUCUUACUAAACCGUUUUCACCCCUUGCUCUGCUGCUUAGGUGCAGGUCAAAACCCCACACUCCCAGCUUUUGCUAUUAAUUUCACACACUUGUACCUUUGAAAUAUUUUGUUUUCAUUGUUAUUUUCUGAAAAAAGUGAAACUGGUUUGGUUCAGCUGAAAACCAGUUGUCUUAUCGAGAAACCAAUAGCAAAUCGAAAUUUGCCAUAAAUGCAAGCCAAAAUGGACGGUUUUUCCAAAAACUAAACCAAACUGAAUUGAGUCAUUGGUUCAAUUCAGUUUCUCGGUUCACUCUAAGGCCAAAAAAAAAGAGAAAAAAUUAAGUUGUCAUGUUACCAAAGACUCUCCAGGAACUCCAAUUUCCUCGACCACUUCGCGGAUAAUUCCAUCGAACAUCUCUUGGGAAACCUUUUCAUUCAAAAGCCGAGAAUCCAUCGAAUUUUUAUCAGUUUCAUGUUCUGAGAUUCCAAUUUCUUGUGGCUGCAGAGAAAAGGAGACAAAACUUCAAAAAGUUUCAUGUGAGCAAGCUUCUGAUUGUUUUAUUAGUCCAGUCUAGAUUAAUGUAUCUAAUGUCCGCUCGGACGAGUAUGUAAAUAACAGCCUAUUUCCUUUCUUACAGGAACUUCACAAGAAAAUAAAAUAUCCAGUUAAGAAUAAAUAUAUAAGGUCACAAAAUUGGGCGAUCGAGAAAGUAUGCCUGGACCAAGGCAACCAAGGUUAUGUGGACCACCCAUUGGAUCUCCGUCCAUCUUAUCCCAUACUUCAAUCCUCACCACCCAUAAGUUGCUUUUCUUGAUUCAAAUUUUUUUUAAUAAAAAGAAAAUGAGUUGGUUGGUUGGAUUAAGAGUAUGAUCUGGGAUGGAGAUGCAAUGGUCAGUCCACAGCUGAUGCGGUAGGCCAGGUCCAUGAUUACAAUACACAAGGUUAUGUGAUUACCUCUGAAUGACCUCCAGGAAAAACAUAGUAACCGGGAAACUCUCCCACAUUAUUGCUUCUUUGCAAUACUAGAAUCCUUCUGUCUGAUGUUUGCACUAUUGCACCAUUACCCAAUGGAUUUGACAUGUGUCGACAACACACUGAGUCAUCUAUAAGAAAAUAAUUUCAAUUAUUAUUUGUACAACAUGUUCUAAAUAACAAAAAACACUAGUACAACAUUAAAUAAAUCAUUUUCUUCUGGGCCUCUACAAAGAAAACUGCAAACUACAUGAAAUGACAAAUCUAAGCUAAAAUAAAUUUAACAUUGCGAGGCACGAAGCACAUAGUUAUUAUUCUCUAUAUUCACAGUACGUUCAUAAAGAAUCAGAAACAGUAACAGGAUUAGUAAUCCUUCUGCAUCAUUCUCUGACUCUUGUUUUCCCGAAAAGAGAAAAACAAGAAAUUUAAAUAAAUAAACAAAAAUGGUUAUUUAUUAGGGAUGCACCUUUCUCGACUAUAUAUCCUUUAAAAGCGAGAGAAAAAAAUAUAUAUAUAUAGUCCAAAAAGGCAAAAAGACUUUAGGGGAUUAGAGAUUAAAGAAUUCAUGCUUCCCAGGUACCCGCAGGUACCCAGUUUAUUGCACUCUCUUGUCACAUUUGGACCACCUUCGAUUAAGCUGGUCAUGAUCAAAAUACCGUCCUCUAGAUAUUUAAUUUUUUUUAAAAAAAAUUAUGAUACUAAUAAUAAUAAUAAUAGCAAUAUUACAUGAAUAUUAGUAGAGCAGGAAAUUAAAGGUUUAGCAGAGUCAUAGAAUAUAUACACACCCAAGCUUGCGAUAACCGUAAAAUCCAAGAUAUUAGGCUAGAUUAACACAUUGUCUUUAUAAUUAAGUGCUGCCUCUUUACUGUUGGACUAAAUCCUUGAACUUUGAAACUGAUAUAGACUCUACCCAACAAUGAUUCCAUUAACUUCAAAAGAAGAAAAUAAUAAUAAUAAUAAUAAUAAUAAUAAUAAUAAGACUAUCUAGGUGUUCAUCAUAUAUAUUCGUUUGAAAAUAAGAGAAUAUAUAGUCUGUAAUAAGGACGCAAGAUUAACUACAAAUUUACAGUAUCAUAAUAAUACUACAAAAAAGGGAGCUUUCUAUUUGAGCCAACUACAAUAUAGUGCAUAGUAUUAUGAGGACUAAGACAUUUCUUACUUAAGGAAAAGACAAACGUAUGUGUACAUGAAACAGUCUCCAACUCUCAAUAACUCAACCCUUUUUUAAGCAAACAAAUAAACGACGCUUACAUAGAUGACUUUGAAUUCUCAGAAUAAUCGGUUUUAGGUAAGAAAGAAAGUAAGAAGUAGACGAUUUCUUUUUUACUGCAAAUAAGUCUUCUUGUUUUCUUUAGUACAAAAUGUGAUAAUUUUGUUAAUAAAAGCAUAUUAUAUGGUACAUCUUAGUGUGAGCAAACAAAAGAAGUACUCUAGCCCUUUUUUUCUUGCACUAUCUUGCUCUCGAAGCAGUGGGAGCGAUUGUCAGCUUCGACCUUGACUUUGGUGGUGGCAAAGGCUUGGGGGACAACAACGGCGAAAACGGCAAUGGUGGCGUCAAUGCAGACACGGUGGCAGCAGUAGAGUUGGCCACGAGCCGAUAGGCGGAACCAAACUGCUCUCUUUCUUCUACUUCCCCCUUUUUUCUUUUCUUUGUUCUUCUUUUUCGUCUUCCUCUACACCCUUAUUUUUAUUAUUUUUUUUUCUUCCUUUCUAUGCAAUCUGUGUAUGUGGGUGCCCGUGCUCCUACCCCUCUGCAUCGUUUCCUCCUCGCUCUUUUAUAGGCCUCCGAGAGCCAAAUUCUCCAAAUCUCCGAGAUCGUGAUGAUGAUUACGCGAGAUCUCUGUGAACCAAAAGGGGAUCUCGAAGAUCUGCGAGCUAUGACAUGGGAUCGUGAUCCCGGAUUUUCCGACAUUCGAUUGAGAGACGGGUGAUUCUGCUCUUAUAUAUAUAUGGGAUAAUUGCCUAUAUACCCCUCACACGUUUGAAAAUAUCCGAUUUACCCCUACUUUUUUUUUUCUUUCUAAAAUACCCCUCAUAUGUUUCACCGUUAUUGCAAAAUACCCCUGUAGUUAUCUCCUGUUAAGUUAACUUGGGUUAAACGUGAGUUAAACAUCUACCGCAGUUAAAAAAAUUUAAAAUACCAAUUUUGCCCUUAACUUAAGGACAAAUAAGAAAUGUUGGUGACAGUAGAGGGCUAUAUUGGAAAAGACCAAAAGUCAAAAUACUUUUUGUGCCCCUUACUUUAAGGGCAAAUAAGAAAGUCAGUGAUGGUGGAAGGGUAUAUUUGAAAGGGCAAAAUAGUAAUUUUACAGAGUUAACAGAAUUAAUUAAUAGAUUUUAACUCUAGGGGUAUAUUAGAAAUAGGUUGGAACAUAAAGAGGGUAUUUUCAAUAUUAGCCUUCUAAGAGGGGUAAAUCGAAAAGUCAGGAACUUUUCAGGAGUAUAUAAGCAAUUGCCCAUAUAUAUAUAUAUAUAUAUAUAUAUAUAUAUAUAUAUAUAUAUAUAUAUAUAUAUAUAUAUAUAUAUAGAAAAAGAGAGAGAAAAGAGAGAGAGUCCGGCUGGGGUGCCUCUAAUACACAAAGCACUUGGUGCUACCAAGUUUUCCACCGUUAGAUUUAUCCCUUUGACCAUUUCCACCUAUUAGAUCAAAUUAUUAAACCAACCACCCACUCAACCCUAGGGAAUCACUAUCAUCUUAAACACAUAUCCCUUCAUCCAAGGGCCGAAGGCCUAAUAGCACCAAUGCAUUGGUGCUAUUAGAAGCAUUCCAGCCAAAUUACACUACAAGAUAAAGGAAUUUUGGCGGCGACUUUUUCGUGGCGACAACUAUUGUCGCCACCAAUGUAAAAGAUAUAGUGGUGAAAUAUAAUUGUCGCCGCCAAUACAUAAACAAUGGUGGCAACAACUGUAUGUCGCCAUCAAUACUUAAUAAAUAGCGGUGAUGUUUUGUCGCGGGAAAAAGUCGAAGCAUUAGCGGCGAUAAUAAUUUUUUCAUACAUCCUGCCAUUACUUCCCUCUUUUUUUUCACCAACUAGUACCAUCAUUUAUUUUUCCAUACAUCCCGCCAUUACUUCCCUCCUUUUUUUUUCACCAACCAACGUUAUCAUUUAUUUUUGUUGGACCACUGGCGCUUACUUAUUUUAUAUGUUAUAUGUAAAUUGUCACGCCCCAACCCGAGGCGUAACAACGCAUACCUACUAAACUAGCAAAUAUGCACCAACGAAUUUGGUGGGAGCCACCUCUUGAAUCCAUAGGAGCCACCUCUAGAAUCUCAGAUCGCCUGGUAAUUAUGGUCUGUAUCUGUGAUCUGGUUAGGACCGGACGAGGAUGUCAGGGUCUAAACAUAGAGAGUUUGUAACGCCCCAAUAGUCGCACAUCGGGUGGGAAACUAAUUCUGAUUAGAAUAUAUGAGGCCUACAUGCUAGUAAUAAUAACCGGGCUUAAGCAUUUUGGGCCAGUGGUUUGGGCCCAGCGAGUUAUUAUUGCUAGCGGAUUGAGUCAUUGCAUAAAUAGUUGAUUUUUUUUGUCUUUUGACAAAUUAAAAACAGGUAAAUAAUAUAUACAAGUUAAAAUCCCUAAAUCUCUUUCAUUAUCCUCCCAUUUCCUCAUCUCUCUGUGUUCCUGUUGAGCCUCUUCCGCUCCCCCGCAUCUUCUUCAACAAACUCCAAUCCGUCGAGCCCCGUCGCCUAUGUCUCCUCUUCCUCAGCAAAAUCCGGUCCGCCGUGCUCUGCCGCUCACGUCUUCGUGCAUCUAACGACGAGGGCAUGUCCAAGCUCUUUGAUGUCCUCUCGAUGCCUACUGCCUUCUCACUGUCUUAUUUUGUGUUUCCUUUUUUUCUUUCUUUUUUACGCGGAAAUUUAGGAUUUAGUUACAGUUGUUGGGACCGUUUGAUCCUUGAGCAUUAAUUCAUUAUAUGUUACUACUAUUUUGGAGAAUUACUUACUACUAUUUAUUAAUGGAGAAACAGGAAGCGACAGCGAAGCUCCCAGCAGACAAGCCGGUGGAGAAGGACGAGGCGGGAGGGGGGGGGGUGCGCGGCAGGAUUAGAGGUCGAACAACUGUCAUAUCGUCACACCAGGCCGGCGCAGCGUGGCAAUACCGUAACAGCACGCGCGGCUGAGGCUAAUCAGGAUCACCAGUAUGUAUAACAUUAUAGUCUUCGACUAUCUUGAGUCUCCGAUCGCAAGCAGCAUGGAAAUUAAGGUCGUUUACUUAUUUGGUCCUUCAGAUCUGCGUGCAGGAUUGUGUUCUUUCACCCAGACCAAGGUAAAAAUGUUAAAGUUUCCCGCUUUCUUUGGCAAUUGAAAUAUUUGGCUAUUCUCUCCAUUUUUUUUUUUCUGCUUCCUAAUUCUAACAUACAAUUCUAAUGUAUUUUUUAAUGUUAAAUUUGUCUUAAAAAAAGUUAUUUCUAAAAUUUUAUUUCUUUAACUUCAUAUGCUUCUAAAUUUGCUUAGAAAAAAUAAUUUUCUAAAAAUUUAAUAUUUCUUGCACCUUCUAUUAGCUUGUAUACAUUGCUUCUUAAAUUGUUUGCUUUGUAUAGUACUAUUUCUUGUGACUCUUUUAUAGUCUAUAUAAUUAUAAUAUAAUUGAUAUAAAUGUUAUAUAAUAUAUAAUAGCUAUAAUAUUAUUUAUUAUGUAUUUAAUAAACUAUAUAUGAAAUGUUAUUUAUAUAAUGUAUGUAUUUAUGUAUGUAUAUGCUAUGGAAUUAAUAAGAAUUAGUAACUGGUUCAAAUAGUAUAGUAUUUGAUUUGAUGAUAUAUAUUUGGUAUUUCAUAGGUUUUUAUAGGUUUGUAUUCUAAAGUCUAUUUACUAUGGAUCAAGUAGAAGAGGAAGUAUUUGAACUAUAGCGCAUUUUGGAAUGGACACUUCAACUUUAAUAGUUUUGAUUUUACUAUAUUAUCUUACAGUAUGUUUGAUUAUCUCAUUGUAGGAAGACGGAAAUUGAUAGAAGUUGGAUGACUCUUAAGAAGCGAGCAUGUAAUGAAUAUGAAAAAGGGAUUGACACAUUCUUAGAUUUCGCAUUUAAAAGAUUAGGAAAUGUGAAAAGAAUUCGUUGUCCAUGUGCUAAAUGUUACAGUGUUAGACUAAAAAAGCCGAACAGAAGUGAAGUAUGACUUAUUUCGUAACAGGAUUCGUCAAAGUUAUACUAAAUGGCAUCAUUAUGGUGAAUUGUCGGAUGAAUAAAGUAGUGAAAGUGAUGCGGAAGAUGUCAUACUUCUAUAGAUGAGAGCUGCAAAUAUAUGAAGACAAUGCUUGAGGACUUAUUUGGACAUGAAGGGAACUCUACAACUGCUGAUAUAGAUAAUAGAGUGUACUAAUCCUGAAGAUCCUAUUCCUAAAGCUCAAAAUUAUUAUCGAUUAUAAUACAUUUGUUGAAUCUCAAAUGUCUCAAUGGUUGGACUGAUAAGUCAGUUACAAUAUUAUUAGAGUUUAUGAUCGAUUUACUAGCAGAUAGUGCAAACAUUCCAAAAUCAUAUUAUGAGACAAGAAAGAUAAUUAAAGAUUUAGGAUUGGAUUAUGUGAAGAUUGAUGCUUGCAAGAAUGACUGUGUGAUCUUGCGAAGAAGCUUGCAAAUAAUGAUACAUGCCCCAUAUGUGGUGAGUCUAGGUGGACCGUGGAUCUUCAGUAGCAGAGAGGAAGUAGUCUUAAGAAAGUAAAAACAAAUUCCUCAAAAGGUUUUGCAUUACUUUCCACUUACAUCGAGAUUACAAAGAUUGUACAUGAAUAAAAAUGACGGCCACUAAUGUGAGGUGGCAUAGUGAUGCUCGGCAAAACGAUGGAAUUUUACAGCAUCCGGCUUAUUCAUCGGCAUUACGACAUAUUUAGUGCUCUGAUACUAUGAAAGAAGGGCAAAAGGCAUACCCUCAUGGAUUCUAUUGAUGAUGUUAUAUAGAACAAGAGAUGAGUCUAAUAUAGUAACAAUGUCUAAUAUAGUAACAAUAUAACUAGGUAUCUCAUAUCAUAUAAUCCUACUCUAAAUAUGUCGUAAUAUAUAGUAUCCUUAUAUAGCAUGAGAUACUAAAUAUGUCGUAACAAUCGGCUUGGAAGCAUUUUGAUUAUAUCCAUCCUGAGUUUGCCAUAGAGCCACGUAUUAUUAGAUUGGGCUUAGCAAGUGAUGGGUUUAACCCCAUAGUUGUGCAUGAAAAAUGAUAAUUUUAUGAUAUCACUACUUAUUCCUGGUCCAAGAGCUCCUGGUAAUGAUAUAGAUGUAUAUUUGGAAACUUUAGUUGACGAGUUGAAUGAUUUGUGGAAAGAAAGGAUUAGGACAUAUGAUGCAUCCAAAAAAAAAACUUUUUAAUGUGUGUUGCCUAUUUUUAGACUAUAAAUGACUUUUCAGCAUAUGCCAAUUUAUCUAGUUAGAGUACGAAAGGAGAUCUAGCAUGUCCUUGUUGCAACAAGGAUACAGUUCCGAAAAGAUUGAAGUAUGGAAAAACUUUUGUUACAUGGGUCACCAUCGUUUCUUGUUACAUAAUCAUAAAUGGCGACCUGACAAAAAAUCAUUUGACGGAACUAAAAAGAAUCGUCUUGCACCUAAGACUUUAUCUGGUGAUGAAGUGCUAGAGCAAUUGAGUCAAAUGAAGCAAGUAACUUUUGGUAAGGUAAAUAAAAAAAGGAAAUGUUCUCAACAGCAAAUGUGCUAUUUAAAUUGGCGAAAAUAUAGCAUUUUCUUCAACUUGCCGUAUUCGCAUGCAUUGUUGAUAGACACAAUUUGGAUGUUCUGCACGUUGAGAAGAAUAUCGGUGAUAAUCUAAUUAGCACACUUAUGAAUAUAGACCGAAAAUCCAACGAUAAUCUGAAUACACGAAAGGAUUUGAUGUUGGUGGGUUUAAGAAAGGAACUUCACUUGAUACCAAUGGAGGAUAAGGAGAUGGGCAUACAAAAUAAAAUUCAAACAAUUGGUAGCAACAAAAUAUAUAAAAUGCCUAGUGCUCAUUACAAACUAUCCAAGGAUGAGGGGCAAUCAUUUUGCCAAUUUCUAAUGGAUUAGAGCUUCCAAAUAGAUUUUCAUCAAACAUUUCUAGAUGUGUCAAUAAACAUGAAAGUAAGCUUCAAAAUUUGAAGAGUCAUGACAUUCAUUGUUUAUUACAUCGUCACCUCCCAUAAGGUAUUCGCGGAUUGUUAAGGAAAUAUAUUUCUAAUGCCUUAAUCAAGUUUAGUGCCUACUUUAGAGAGUUAUGCUCAAAAUCAUUGUGUAAGUGAUUUGGAAGGACUGAAAAGUUCAAUUGUUUUGACUUUGUGCUCUUGAGAGAGUAUUCCCACCUGCAUUCUUUGAUAUCAUGGUUCAACCAUCAAUUCACCUUGCAACUUAGGCGAAAAUUGCUGGCCUUGUUGAAUAUAGAUGGAUGUACCCAUUUGAAAGGUAUAUUUUUUAUUUUUUAUUUUUUAUUUUUUUAGAAAAAUGUGGUAUUAAUAUUAUAUUGAAUAGGUACUUGCGCAUGCUCAAAUCAUAUGUUCAUAAUAAGGUUCGUCCAGAAGGAUCUAUAGUAGAAGGAAUAAUUGCACGAGAAUGUGUAAAUUUUUGUUCCAAAUGCUUGCAUGAUGUUGAAACAUGAUUGAAUUGUGUCGGGAGAAAUUAUAAGGGUGAUCCACCACAAAACAGCUCCGGCUUGGCCAUUUUUUUCAAAUGCAGUUCUCCUCUAAAUAAUUCCAAAAUUGAGCAAUUAACUAUCUCUUAUUGGAAGCAGGCAACUCUGUACGUUCUCAAAAAUUGUGAAGAAGCUGUACCUUAUAUUAGGUAAGGAUUUAAAUUAGUAGUUCUAGUUUGACUACUUUUUUCUUUUAUACUUUCUAAUAUCAACUUGAUAAUUUAAUGCAUGGGGGACAUGUUGAAGAGGUUUGCAGAAAGUACAGUAGUGAUGUAGAGCGGUGGCACGAAGAACAAUUUUUUGGCUGGUUUCAAGCUAAAAUAGCGGAGAUGUUUGAUAACCAAGAUGAAACAAUAUCACAAGAGCUAUUACACCUAGCCCGAGGUCCAGAUAAGUGAGUGCAUAAAUAUUCUGGAUAUUUAAUUAAUAGUUUCAGAUUUCACACAAAAGAGCAUGAGAUAUUUUUGAAGACUCAAAAUAAUGAGGUAUUUGUUUAUGGAGAUGAUAGGCUAAGCAAAAAGGAAUACUAUGGGCUAAUUUUAUAUAUCACUGCAAUACCAAGGAUCAAAAAAGGUUGCUUUAUUUAAAUGUCGUUGAUGGGAUGUGUACAACUGUGGUCGGGGAUAUAAGGAGGUUGAAAAUGGGUUUUUCUUAGUUAAUGUUGAUUGUGAAUUGUUCCCUAAUACAACUGAUCCAUAUAUCUUGGCAUCACAAGCUCAACAAGUAUAUUAUGGCAAAGAUAUAAAGGAUUCUAAAUGGUAAGUUGUUGUCAAGACACAACCUCUAGAUCUUUUUGAUGUGCCUAUAAUAGAAAAUAGUGCUACUAAUCCAGAGAAGUCUGCAUCAAUACCAAUUCAAGAAAAUAAGAACAUAGGUAAUUUCUAUAGAAAUGAUGACGAUAGCGACAACGAUUUACGUAAUUUUGAGUUAGCUAGAGCUAACGAACAAGAGAUUGUAUUUGAUGUCAGUGAGGUCACUAUUAGUGUAGAAGCGCACAAAGAGGACCUCUUAAAUUGUAAUAAUGAUGAUAACAAUUCCAUUUUGAAUGAAACUUGACCCACCUUGUUCUCAGGUAAUAAUUUAUCAUUUGUUUGUCUCUUGCAUUUUUAUGUGUGUUUGGUGAUAAUAUACUUGAUCAACUUGCUUUUAAUUUUUAAUAAUAUUUCUUGUUUAUUUGAAUAAUUGUAUAUCUAUGGUAAUUGAUAGGCAAUGGUGGGAGAAAGCAAGAAUUCUAAAGCACAGUUGUACAAAAUUACUAUUUUUAAGGAAAAAUAUAAUAGAAUUGAUGGUUUUAGAAAGGAAGUCAUAUACAAUUUCAAUCAUAUGUAUAGAGAUUGAAGACAUCGCAAGCAUCUAAAUUAUAAACAAUUCGAGAUAGAUGAGGAAAGGCUUUAAAAUUGUCCAUAUGAUAUUAUAGAAUCAGAUUGGGCGUCUUUAGUUGAAUACUUUGGCUCUAAACCAUUUAAGGUUGUUAAUUUUUUUAUACAUAUAUCUAUUAACUUGUAAGAAUUAUUCGUAGAUUCAAACAUAACAAUGUUUAAUUUCUUGUAGAGAAUGUCGGCACAAAAUAAAGCAAAUUGAGCAAAACAAUCAACCAGCUCAAUCUAUGGAAUAAAAUCAUUUGCUAGUGUCCUAUAUGAUAUAGUGAUUCUGUCAUUGAUUAAACUUAUGGAUACCUUUUUAUAUUAUUACUUUUAUGAUAUCAAGAUUUUAAUUUUAAAUUGAAGAGAGAUCCAAGAACUGAGAUUGAUCCUCAUUUGACUGAAUACUGGAAGGCUACACAUCAGCGAAGAAUCGAUGGGACAUGGUAUUCUGAUAAAGCUUAGCAUGCUAUGGUACAACAACCUUAUUUCAUAACACAACUCUAGUUCGUAUUCUAUAUAUAUGCAUUAGAAUUGUGAAAACUUAAAAAGUUUCAAUUUAAAUUUGAUAUUUUGUUUUAAAUGCUUAGACUAGUGAAAAAGAACAUUUGCCAUGCAAAUAUAAAAAUAUUUCUUGUUACGUUUGUAUCUAGUUGAAUGCAGAAAAAAUUUGGGUAUGUAUCGAGAAGAGUUAGGCGAUCCUCCAUUAUAAAUGGAAGAACAUUUAACAAAGGCUUUUGGUCCACGUUCUGAAUAUCUUCGUGGUUUAGGAUGUGGACCUAGGCCAAUAAAUGCUAAGAGCUUAAAAGUCAAAGCAUCACAAGAGGAUUUUGAGAGACAAAUUGUAGAUUUGAAAAAUGAGCCGAAGCAAUCUAGAGAGUAUGAAGAAAAAGAAUCACAUCUACAAAAGGAGAAGAAUUAGAGAGAGGAGAAAUUUAAAAAAGAAACUGAAGAGACUAAAGCACACAUUAAGGCACAACUUAAAGCUAAAUUUAAUAAACAACUAAAGAUAAUUGUACAAUUAUAUGGAGUGCCAACCACAUCAUCCCCUCCUUCUAGUCAAGGAAGGUCGACCACAUCAUCCCUACCUUCGAGUCAAGGAAUGCCAACCACAUCAUCCCCUCCUUCCGAUCAAAAUGAUUCUAGGAACUGCUUAGCUAAAGGUAAUUAUAUAUUUUACCUCAAGUUAUCUUUUGCUUUGUAUUGUCCUUUAAAGUAAAACUUAUGGUGUGAUGACAAAUUAAAUUAUAAGUAUAAAAAAAUAUACGGUUAGUUGGUAAGUCUCUUAGUGAAGUUGAUUACUUGGUAAACCUAAAAUGAAAAUUUUGUUUUGUUGUACUUUCUUUCGCGCUAUGUUGUCUUUUCUUAUUUGUAUUUUUGUUCCUAUUUACGAUUUCCAAGGAUUGAGGACAACUCUCCAAGAGCAAAGAGGAUGUCACAGCUAGUCUAAAGAACUUGGGGGUAAUUACUUGCUCAUUUAUUUUCCUUCCUAAUUGUUCAUGUGCAGAUAGAAGUGGUAUAUUCUACUUGAAACUUAAAUACAAUAGGUCUUAAUUUAGUUAUAGCUUUCUAUGUUUCAUACAGAUUUAAGAAAUAGUAACAAGCUUAUCUACUAUUAUUGUGUCGAUCCAUAAUUUACGUCCGUGAUUCUUGAAUCUCUGUUUGUGAUCAUCGUGAUCAAACGCAUGUGAUUGUUUUAUAAUAAAUGGAUAUGUGCUCUACUUUUUUUUGACAUGUUAACUAACAACGAGUAUUAAACUAAACUACUGUAAAGAUCGAAAACAUCAAUUGACUAGUGCCUCUUUGCCUUGGCUGCUAAAAUCACUUCUUUUAGAACUAGCAGCAAGGAGUCUGACAAAUGGAUGUUUUGAUGCUUCUGCUACUCAGGAAACUGAGUUUAUCUUUUGAAUCGCCCAGAAGCAGAAUUUGAUCAUUAAACAAUCACUUAUCAGCAAUAAUUGCGUAAAAAAAUUAACCAUUGCAGGAAAAGUAGAGACAGCUAUAAAAAAGAAGAAUAGCUGCAAAUUUUCUCUUCUUGCUAUGACAUUCUCAUCUCCUACCUUAUUUAGACAACUAUAUGGAGGCAAAAAGAAGGGCAAAUUGCAUUGCAUUAGUUGAAUUAUAGAUUAUUUGCUAUAAUAAUAUUAAAUUUUUUUAUUUUCUGUACAUGUUUAUAAAAGAGUUGAUGACAAAAUUCUCUUCUUUUUCUACAGGCUUAUAAGAGAGAGUGAUGACAAAAUAUUUUGGUGACAUUUUAGCAACAUUUUGGCGAAAUAUAUUAAAGCAAGUUUAGGAAUCUAGGUAUAUUAUGACAAGUUUACAUUUGAUACUAUGUGGGCUUAGAAAAGCAUUAUACUCUUAUCUCAUUUUACUAGUUUUUUGGGUGUGAGUUGAAUGAUUGUAAUGUUACAGUGAUACUCUUAACUUUCUUUUCUAAGACAAUCUUAGUUGCUGAUUUAUCCUAUAUGAUCAUAUUUACUCUUCUAAACAUCUUUAAUUUGAUCCAAUCUUAUUUAUUAUAGGAAUUUUAUGAUCAAUUACAUUAUAGAGAUUUCACUAUUGGAGUCAUGGUGCUCAUAUUUAAUUUGAUUUUGAGACUUGGAUACUGCCAAUAUUUGAAAGAUGGUAUCUUUACAACACACAAUUAACGGCGACUAUAAUCGCCGUCAAAAAAUAAAAAACAAAAAUUCUAGCAAACUAUUCAUUGUCAAUUGGUGGCGCUAGUAACCGUCAUCCUUUAUUCAAAAUUUUAGCAGCGACAGGCUGUCGUCGUCUUCUAUUCAAACUUUUAGCAGCGACAGAUUGUCGCCGUGUUUUAUUCAAACUUUUAGUGGCGACAGAUUGUCGCCACUAUAUCAAAACUUUUAGCAGCAAUAUUAUGUCGCCACUAAAUACGUUUUCCGACAAGCUUUUAGGCGAUGCCAUGCGGCGACAGUUUUGUCGCCGUCGUAAUCUUUUCGUGGCGACAUUUUGGCUUAUGACGGCAGCUUUGGUCGCCACUAAAUCUAUUUCGUAUAUAUAUAUAUAUAUAUAUAUAUAGAGUUGAGCUAGAAUACUAUCGGUAGCAAAUUGGCUCCGUUGCCACCCAUUUGUUUUCGAUGAUGGAGCCUCCAAAUCGACGAUCGGCACCGUUGAACAUGAUCUAUACCACUUGAAGUAUCUAGAAACCAAAUUUCAAAUCUUUUAGACAUUAUUAACCUAAUGAUCAAAGGGUUUCAAAAUUUAUAAUUUGAAUGGUCAAUAUGAGGCAUUUUCUUGUUUAACGGUGUAAAGAUAUCCAAAUCAAUUGAAUUUUGGUUAGAAAAUUCUUUAAACAAUUUAGAACAAGAUUUAUACUCUCGAUCUUGAUUAUAAGAUUCCUAUCAUCACUUUUUAAAGAAUAUUCAUUUUUAGUCGUUCAUUUUGUGUCCACUUGAUGGACAAGAGAACAAUAUCGGAAAAGCAUGAAAUUUGAUUUCUAGAUGCUUCAAGUGGUAUAGAUCAUGUUCAAUGGCGCCGAUCGUUGAUUUGGAGGCUCCAUCAUAAAAAACAAAUGGGUGGCAACGAAGCCAGUUUGCUAUCGAUAGCAUUCUAGCUCAACUCUAUAUAUAUAUAUAUAUAUAUAGAGAGAGAGAGAGAGAGAGAGAGAGAGAGUUCAGUUAUGGUGCUUGUAAAAGCACCAAGCUCUUGGCGCUUGUAAGUUUUUUACCGUUAGAUCUCCUCGGAUUAUUUUCAACCAUUAGAUUAUACUAUUCAACCAACCACCUACUCAACCCUAGGGGAUCCAUAUCAUCCUAACCGCAUAUCUCUUAAUCUAAUGGCUAAAAAUCUACAAGCACCAAUAACUUGGUACUUUUAAAAGCAUAGGAGCUCAAUUAUAUAUAUAUAUAUAUAUAGAGUCCGUUUACUAUACUAUCAAUAGUAUUUGGGAUAUUUUACUAUAUAGUUUUUAGCUGUUAGAGCUACUCCUUUGAAUAUUUCUACUAUUUGAUCAAUACUAUUUAGCCAACUACCGCUAAACCCUAGGGGGACCACCACGCAACCCUAGGGGACCACUAUCAUCCUAACCCUACAAUAUUUCAUCUAAGAGUUAAAAACUAUAUAAUAAAAAAGCCAAAAUAUUAUUAAUAGUAUAGAAGCUCAAUUCAAUACAUAUAUAUUAUUUUUUUUUACUAUUAUUAUUUUUAUUUUUAUUAUUUUAUUUCAUUUUUUAAAAUUUAUUUUGGAUUUAACUGAUUUUGGGCAAGUCCAACAACUCUUUCCAAAUCAUCUGCAAUCUUAUGUUCUUUAUCACUUCAGUUAAAACUAGAACUAUCAAUGUCGUACACUAAGGUAUCGUUUGGUUCGGGGAUAAGGAAAAAAGGGUUAUUCCAGGGAUAGGUAUAAAUUGAGGUAUAAGCGAGGAUUAGAUUAAUUUUGCGUUUGGAUGAAAAUUGGAUUAUUCCUGGAAUAAAAAAAAUAACGUUUGGUUAGGUAAGAUGGAAUAAGAAAAAUAAUGGGUUUUGUAAAUAAAAAAUAAUGAUAUUAUCCAUUUAUUAUAUUUGAAUUUGAAUUUUUAAAUUUUUAAAUUUAUAUUUCUAAAUUUAAAAUUUUAACUUUGAAAUUUAAAAUCUCAAAUUUUAAAUUCAAAAUUUUAAAUUUUAAAUUUCAAACUUUAAAUUUAAGAUCAUAUUUAAAUUUAAAAAAAUAUAAAAUAUCAAAUUUUAAAUUUCAAAAAUUUAAAAUAUCAAAAUUUAAAUUUAAAAUUUAAAAUUUAUAAUUUAAAUUUUAAACUUUAAUUUUGAGAUUAUAAAUUAUAAAUUUUAAAAAUUUAAAUUUUUAAUUUUUAAAAUUUUAAAAUAAGAAUAGUGGUGGGAACAAUUAAUAAAAAUAAUUUAUUAUAAUAAAUUUAUAAAUUUUUUAAAAAUUCUACUUAAAUUUAAAUUUAAUAAAAAGAAUUUAUUAUAAUAUUUAAAUAUAAUUUAUUAUAAAUUUUAUUAUAAUAUUUAAAUAUAAAUAAUAUGUAUUAAUAUAGUACAAUUAAUAAUUUUAUAAUAAAAAUAAUGUAUUAUAAUAUAUAACAUAUUAUAUUUAUAUAAUUUAGUUUAAUUCAAUUUAUAAGUUUAAUUAAGUUUGAAAUUAAACAUUGGAAUAGCACUAUUCCACCAAAAUGGUGGAAUAGCAAAUCCCUUACUAUUCCGGGAUAACCGGGAAUAGCAAGGUUUGACCGGGAUAAAAUAUCCCGGCCAAAGUUCACCCCGUUUGGCGGAAUAGCGGGGAUAACUUUCGUUAUCCCCGCUUAUCCCGCGAUCCAAACGGGGCCUAACAGAAUUCUCUAUUUGAGACUUCAUUAAAUCAUGACUGUGAAUUAUCCCCGUAUUUAGACCAGAGAAUUUAUGUAUCUUUUCUCAAUCAAUAUAUGAAGUUUUUGCAAAGUCACUAUAUGGCAAAGACAGUUUAUGUUUCUUAGCACUUAACUAUAGGAGGUUGAAAUAUAAUUCACAUGAUAUACGAAAAUUACCUUCGGAUGAAACAAGAAACUUCUUCCAUAGAGGAUUCAAAUUUGUUCCCAUAAAUGUCCUGUAAAUGUUGCAACUAAUAAUUUUAGUUCUUUGUUAUAGUCAAUAGCAUCGCCAAAGGGUUAUAUCUUGCAUAGCAUUUAGAGACAAGUUGAAAAGUUCAUCUUAAUUUCAUCAAGUGCUAUAGCGGAUGAAUAACAUCCGCAUAUUAAUUGUUAGCAUACUAUAAAUACUUGAAAAAGUGAUCCGUAAAAACAAAUAAUGUGACCUGGAAAGGCAUGUCAAUUUUAGUAACUUUAACAAUGUGAAUUUGUUAUCUCAUAAUAUCACCUAGCAAUAAUCAAUGUAAAGUUCAACAGGCUCACUUAAAUGUGAGAGGCAAAACUAAAAUUUGGUGAGAGAAUUAAGGUAAAAGGACUGAAACUAGAAGAGUACCUAUAAUCUGUCAGACCAAGUAGAAGGCAAACAGAUAACUCUUGGUCUAAGCCAUCUGCAUCAAGCAAGGAAUAUCCUCCAUACUGCGAAAUGAAUAAUAAAGUCAAAGUGCCCAAGACUGGAUAUGAAAUAAUGAAUUUAGUUGUUACCCACUUGCCUUUCUAUUGAUAUUGCUUUUCUGCGGAUAACAUAAAUAGAACUCUUUCGGCUAAAAAUAAAACAUUUGAUGAUUUAUGAACAUACAAAAAGCUGAUAGAAAACAACCUACCCGGAACUUUGUGCCAUUGUACAGGGAUGGAUUCUCUUGAAGUCGACGAUUCCAGAUCUGCAGCACAUCAUCAAAAUUUUCAGAAAAUGUAAUGGAUUUCAGUAGAAAAUAUUUCAUAAAUGUAUUUAAUUAAAUUGACUAAAUAAAAUUCUGCAACCUUUCAAAUAGCAUUGAGGAUAAAAAAGUGAUUCUUUAUACCUCAUUUAUAGAUUCUUCUAAAUUAGCAUCUGGAUGAGGAACCCUAUCAUGUACUGGACCAAAGUCGACAAAAACCUUCAUAUACGAAAAUAAUAGUUUUAGCCAAACAAAUCUGAGCAACUUAAAAACAGAAGCAAUGUUCGCAGUCACUAAGAAAAAAAAUGUAAAUGGAUGAGUUCAUUAAUCACAUCGUCUGUGGCACAUUGUUACUCUCGCUCGGAAAGUUCACCAACACUAGCAAGGAUUAAAUAACUUCUAUUUAUUUCACUGUUUUGUAGCAUUCUAGGAAUGCUUUAAAUGUCCGAUUAUAUAUGGUGAGAGAUUGUCACCUUGCAAGACAGGUCAAGACACUAUAAGGGGCUUACAGCAAAGUGAUGAAAACGUCAUAGAUUCCCAGCUAGCAGGCAUCUUAGAUAACCAUGGAGUGGGGAAUUUUAUCAUUCCAUAUCCAUCGGAACGAGAUUUCUACAGGAACAUAACGUUUCUGUGGGUUGGAAAUUUUGUCAGAGUUGCAAGCUGGCGACUACUAUAAAUAGAAAAGUAAAGCACACACAGAAUGUUCAAAAUCAGUAAACAAAUGGCCCCUUAGCAUGUCAUGCAGAGAUCUCGUUACUUUCAGAUAGAGAUGAAUCUAGGUGACUAAUGUUUCCUGAAAAGAGACAUCAUAGUAUAUUUAUCAUAGACGCAUCUGUGUCUUAGAUUUGUGAAGUUAGUAACAUGUCUUAAUGGAGUUGCUACCAAAUAAUUGAAAUAUCAAUAUAAGAUUUUGGACAAGGAAUGCUAAUAAAUCAUAAUGAAUACCAGUUGCUUUAGAAUCUAGGACUUCCUGAGGCCUUCUUUGAUUUUGCACUUUCAUAUUGAUAUAGGCUUUUGACAAAGCGCAAAAAGGCGCAAAGGCCUUAUGAAGCCUAGGCGCGAGGCGCACCGCGAGGCGCGCGCCUCAAGAAGGUGAGGUGCAUAUCUAAUAAAAAUAAAACACUCUUAACAAGCAUGUUUUAAAUGGAUGUUUUAUAUUAAAAAAUUCUAAAAUAGUUAUAUAAAUAUAAAAUAACCAUAAAAAGUAAAAAAAUCGCAUGCAUAAAUAUUCUCAGCUUAAAAUAAAAAAAAUUAUGUUUCAACUUUCAGCUUAAAAGUGUUUGUUGUUACUUCUUUCUUCUUACCGCUGCUAUUUAUUGCCAUUGUGGGGUGGAAGAGAGAACAACCAAGAGAAAAGGAAAAGAAAGCGUUCAAUUAGAAAUUCUUUUAAAAAAAAUUUCUUAACAUUUUAGAAUAUAUUGAAGAAACUCAAAACCCAAGAACCCACACCUUAGACACAUUAAACGUAAAUAUCACGAGGCGCAUCUGAGGCGCGAGUCUCACUUCCUGAGGCGUUGAGACUCACGCCUUGCGCCUGGGAGCUAAGGCGCGCGUCUGAAGCGCGCCUUUUCAAACACUGCAAGGAAUGAUGAUAAAUCAUAGAGAACAUCAAUCACUUCAGAAUCUAGGAGUUAAUGAGGUAUUCUUUCAUGUUGCCCUUUCAUUGGAUCCUUUCAAAGGACUUUGUAGUACAUUGUUUCUUAAAAUAUAUGAAUCGCCAUGCUAGAUAAAGAAAUCAGCAAGUUCAUAUAUAGAAAAAUCUCUCAUGUCUGAAAUAAACAAUCCAGAACUUAGCACCAAAUUACAGAGACUGAUUCGAUCAAUCAAAGUAGAUUCUUCAACUUUGAGAUUUGCUUUGUGAACAACUUAUAUAUGAGAUGAAAAAGGUUCAUACAGAAAAGUAAUUGUUCCAACUUCCAAGCAAUUUAAGUAAGAUAAUAGAAACAAUUUUUUUGGAAGUCCAGAAUAGUACUCUGCCUAGUCGCAUGUAACUUAUUUUGUGGAAUCAUGUGUUUGUUGGGCCCAAAUUAAUGUGGCCCGCAUUUCUCACAUCUAGAGAGCCUAAAUUAGUUUAACAUUUUAUCAGGUUUUUGGAUCAAAACAUAAUUUUUUUAUUUUUAUGGUCAAUUAUUAAUUUGGUUUUUGGUGCAUACAACAUCUCUUUUUGAUGGGCAAGAGAGUUCAAUUAGAUAAUAAAAUCCUGGCUUGUGAUUGAUCCAUUAGAAAUGGAAAGAUUUACAGUAAACAGAAAAAAAGUCAGAAAUAAUCUAUUUUUCCCACCCGUCCCAAUCACAAGAGCAGCAUCACCCCGCAAUCAAAGAUCGGCUCAUCAAUUCACAUGACAAGAACACUGAGACGCAACUCUACAUCUAAUCCAACCUGCAGCUAGUACAGCAAUCUAAACCACAAUACGUUCCAAUGAUGUCCAACAAAGAACAGCUCCGGUCGGAGACCAAAGGAGAAACCAACAAGGAACUAAAAAGACUAGGGCUCAUCGAUUCGCAUGAUAAGACACUAAAAUCCAAACCUAGAUGCGAUCAAAGCUGGAUCGAGAAGUGUGAAACCCCAGAUAGUCCUAUAUAUGAGAUAUAAUAGGGGUAAAACUCUUAACCUAGCUAUAGCAUUUUGGGCGGUGGCUAAAUUCAAGAGGUUAUGAGAGUUAAACGUGCUAGGACUAAAAUAGUCCUAGGAUAGAUAACCUUCUAGAAAAUGGGGCGUUGGUAUCAAAGCCAAUUAUCAGUCGAAAAUAUCAUAUGAGUCUCGACCGAGCCAGAUUAUAUAGCAAAGAGAGCGAGGCUCUCAUGCUGAUGACUAUUGUAGAUAGAGUGCGGCCCCUACAAAGUCGGUUAAGACUAGCGAGACGAGUCUCACAUCAUCUGAUAUUUGUGAGUCUAAACCUGACGAGUACGCCGGGGCUUAAAUGGGGUGUGGAUAGAGCAUGGUUCCCCUACAAGGUCGGUAAAGACAUGUAAGACGAGUCUCACAUUGCUUGAUACUUGUAAGUCUGAACCUUACGAGUAUAUCGGGGCUUAAAUGGGGAGAAAAAUAUGAGACCCCAUAUAGUCUUAUAUAUGAGAUAUAAUAGGACUAAAACUCUUAACCAUUUUGGACGAUGGCUAAACCUAAGAAGUAAAGAGGUUAAAAAGUUAAGAAUGCUAGUACUAGAGUAGUCCUAAAAUGGAUGACCCUCUAAAAAAUGGGGUAUCACAAGAAGCAACGAGAAUCCACGGUUCAUCUAUUCGCAUGAAAAGAACGCCAAAGUUCAAAUCUAGAUGCGAUCGAAGCAGCAACUACUACAUCAAUCCAAAUCAACCAUUCCCAUACAAACAAGACCACUGAUCAGAUAUCGAGAAAGAAAUCAACAGGAAGAAAGAAUCUAGCGUUUAUGGAGCUCGAAAAGGAGAGGGAAAGGGAUCGCACCCGGGAUUGGGGGAGGCCGGAGGGGCAGGAGAGGAGGAGCUUGAAGGAAGUGCCUUCGACUCCGGCGCCGCCGCUGCUAAUGGAGAUCGUCGUCAUCGUCGGCGAUGGGAGGAGAGGGGAGAGGAGGUGGGGGAGAGGGCGGAGGUAGGAGACGACCCUCGCCAUUGAUUUUAACCGCUUUGGAGAACUUUUUAAGAAGCAGCUUUGCGGGCACGUCUCAAUUGUUCCAAAUAUUUUUUAAAACAAAUAGUGUGAUCAGAUUGCUUAAUAAAUAUGAUUAAUAGGUAUAUAUCAUAUUAUGUAUUAAUAAUUAUUUUAAUUAUUUAAUACAAAUAUUAUUAGUCAUUUACUUAUAUAGAGAGAGAGAGUUAUUUUUUUUUUAUGAUGAAUGAAGCUCGAUAUAUUAGACGGCUAGAAUUAUACAAGAGAUAGAAUAUUCGAUCUUAGUGGUUGUGCCAUAUUUUAGAAAGGCCCGAUUGGGGUCUUACACUCAUGUUUUAAUUACACCAUACACCGAUUUCAAAUUAUGUGUCAAAUAUAAAUUUAUAUUAUAUAAUAAAUUAUUUAAGUAUUUUAUGUUAUAUUUUAUUUUACACUACUGAUUACUAAAUAUUUUAUUAAUUAUUUAAUAUACUUUAUGAUGUAUGAAGCAUUAGUAUAUCCCAAGUGCAAAAAAAAUUUAUUUUCUCUCUUCAUUUUGUGGCCAUGUGGGUGCAUUAAAUUAAGCAUUCUCUGCACUGAGUGUAUAUGUGUAUCAGGUGUAUAUUUGUACAUGUAUCAUAUACUUAAGACCUUUUAAUAGAGAUUUGAAAAUCUAAUUCAUUCAAUAGAAUUUAAAUUAUUAAUUUAUAGGUCAUAUAUGUUUAAUUAAAUUUUAAUAUCAAAAUAUUUAUUAUCUAAUAUAAGUUGUGGUGUAUAAAAUGUUAAUAUAUAUCAUGCGCAUGUAAGUUUUUAGUUAAAAAAGUUAUUUACAAAACAAUUUUCAAAACUAUUAAAUUUGAUUAAUUUUGAAAUAAAGUUGUUAGAAUAAUGUAACUAGUCAAAAAUUAAGAAAAUAUUAGGGGUUGUUUGGUUCCUCAUAAAACUGCAGAAAAAAAAUUUUCGAUGGAAAAUAAAUUUUACGCUCUUUAGAGUUUGGUUUGUAGGAAAAAAUAGUAAUUGUCACUUCCCGGAUUACCACGUUUUUCUGGGCACGCCAACAGACCCGCCGUAUACAUAAGAAUUUUUUGUGUAUACGAAGCAAUAGCUGUACCUGUAAGCAGGUCAUAGCUACAACCAAGUGUAUAGAGCUCCUAAACUGAAGUAGGAAUAUAUAUAUAAAACAUAAGGUUCAUAGUACAUACAAAAGCUCUGAACCAACACUAACACCUCGCUCUAGCGAGUAAACCGAAUAUAGAGUAUGUACACGAACAAAACCCACUACCUCUGACGGGUACUCCGCUAGCACAGCAACCAAGGGUAGGAAGAAUCUAGCUCGUGAUUCUCUUCCCGCGGUCGGAAUCAGCAACAACAGCAGCCGCAGACGAAUGCUCUGCAAAAAGGGGUCAACAACUGGGUGUGAGAACUACUACAAAACAAAGUAGUCCUCAGUGGGUACCGCCACCGACCUCAACGGCCCACCCACUAAGUCCACAGAAAUAUGCCCAAAGGACAGUAAGGAAAGCCGGAAAGAACUCUACAGCUACUUAUCACUAUACUAUCGCUAACCAACACAAUCUAUCUGUAGAUAUAAAUAUGUAUCACACUGACCCAAUCUCACUAGGGACUGCGAUACGCCUGUCCCGCCUGUCUAAGCUACAUCGUACAUCACC
rnacentral:lncRNA from 1 species